ensembl:lncRNA
UGUAGGGGCAGGGAGGACUGUUGUAAGAUUAGGGAGAACUGUUGUGGGAGUAUGGAGGACUGUUGUAGGGGUAGGGAGUACUGUUGUAGGGGUAUGGAGGACUGUUGUGGGGGUAGGGAGGACUGUUGUAGGUGUAGAGAGGACUGUUGUAGGGGUAGGAAGUACUGUUGUCAGAGUAGGGAGUACUGUUGUAGAGGUAGGGAGGACUGUUGUAGAGGUAGGAAGUAAUGUUGUCAGAGUAGGAUGUACUCUUGUAG